rnacentral:rRNA from 1 species
UACGUAGGUGGCAAGCGUUGUCCGGAUUUACUGGGUGUAAAGGGCGUGUAGGCGGGUUAGCAAGUCAGAUGUGAAAUACCAGGGCUCAACUCUGGUGCUGCAUCUGAAACUGCUGAUCUUGAGUACUGGAGAGGGAAGCGGAAUUCCUAGUGUAGCGGUGAAAUGCGUAGAUAUUAGGAGGAACACCAGUGGCGAAGGCGGCUUUCUGGACAGUAACUGACGCUGAGGCGCGAAAGCGUGGGGAGCAAACAGG